AUGAAUUCCUUAGGAACCUUUAUUAUAAAUGGAAUAUACCGAAGUGUGAUCAAUCAAAUAUUGCUAAGUCCUAGUAUUUACUACCGCUCGGAAUUAGAUCAUAAUGGAAUUUCUAUCUACACUGGCACUAUAAUAUCAGAUUGGGGGGGGAGAUCGGAAUUAGCAAUUCAUAAAAAAGAAAGGCUAUGGGCUCGCGUGAGUAGAAAACAAAAGAUAUCUAUUCUAGUUCUAUCAUCAGCUAUGGGUUCGAAUCUAAGAGAAAUUCUAGAUAAUGUUUCCUACCCUGAAAUUUUCUUGUCUUUCCCGAAUGCUAAGGAGAAGAAGAGGAUUGAGUCAAAAAAAGCUAUUUUGGAGUUUUAUCAACAAUUUGCUUGUGUACGUGGGGACCUGGUAUUUUCGGAGUCCUUAUGCGAGGAAUUACAAAAGAAAUUUUUUCAACAAAAAUGCGAAUUAGGAAGGAUUGGUCGACGAAAUAUGAAUCGGGGACUUAAUCUUGAUAUACCUCAGAACAAUACAUUCUUGUUACCACGAGAUGUAUUGGCCGCUACGGAUCAUUUGAUUGGAAUGAAAUUUGGAACUGGUAUGCUUGACGAUGACGAUAUAAAUCACUUGAAAAAUAAACGUAUUCGUUCGGUUGCGGACCUGUUACAAGAUCAAUUCGGAUUGGCUCUUGGUCGUUUACAACAUGCAGUUCAAAAAACUAUUCGUAAAGUAUUCAUACGUCAAUCGAAACCGACUCCCCAAACUUUGGUAACUCCAACUUCAACUUCAAUUUUAUUAAUAACUACUUAUGAGACCUUUUCUGGCACAUACCCGUUAUCUCAAGUUUUUCAUCAAACGAAUCCGUUGACACAAACUUCAUGGGCGAAAAGUGAGUUGUUUAGGUCCUGGAGGGUUGACGGGGAGAACCACAAGUUUUCGGAGGCGAGAUAUUCAUCCGAGUCACUAUGGGCGUAUUUGUGCAAUUGA
rnacentral:rRNA from 1 species